rfam:Triticum urartu cultivar G1812 contig835449, whole genome shotgun sequence.
AUGCUACUCCCUCCGUUCGGAAUUACUUGUCUCGAAAAUGGAUGUAUCUAGAACUAAAAUACGUCUAGAUACAUCCAUUUCUGCGACAAGUAAUUUCGAACGGAGGGAGUAGAUG